AUUGAACGCUGGCGGCAUGCCUUACACAUGCAAGUCGAACGGCAGCACGGGAGCAAUCCUGGUGGCGAGUGGCGAACGGGUGAGUAAAGUAUCGGAACGUGCCCAGUCGUGGGGGAUAACGUAGCGAAAGUUACGCUAAUACCGCAUACGAUCUAUGGAUGAAAGCGGGGGAUCGCAAGACCUCGCGCGAUUGGAGCGGCCGAUAUCAGAUUAGGUAGUUGGUGGGGUAAAGGCUCACCCAGCCGACGAUCUGUAGCUGGUCUGAGAGGACGACCAGCCACACUGGGACUGAGACACGGCCCAGACUCCUGCGGGAGGCAGCAGUGGGGAAUUUUGGACAAUGGGCGAAAGCCUGAUCCUGCCAUGCCGCGCGCAGGAUGAAGGCCUUCGGGUUGUAAACUGCUUUGGUACGGAACGAAAAGGUUUGGGCUAAUAAGCUGAGCUCAUGACGGUACCGUAAGAAUAAGCACCGGCUAACUACGUGCCAGCCGCCGCCGUAA
rnacentral:rRNA from 1 species